UCUAUCACCAUUGUUUUUUCAGAAACCCCAAAUCCUGCAGAGUUGUUUUGGAUUAAGAGGGAGGAAAAGGAUGAUUCUCUUGUCUAAAUGCCAGGAUCAGUAUCCACUGAAUGACAAUUCUUGUAGUCCUACGGUCUGACAUCAUAUGUCCAAGCAACUUGUGGGAAAUAAUGGAAGGAGCUUUUUAAAGGCUGCAGAGAGGUGACGGCCUGGAAAAAGCUAGUUAAAGUAUAGGCAGACAUACCCCAGAGUUGUGGCACCCAUUAAUAGAUCAAGCCAGCCUGCGCAGCUGUGUUUUGAUCAGCGGAAAGGUUUCCUGGCAUCCAAGAACUGAAAUCACCUUUUGGGUUUGACAAGUGCAUCUAAGUAUCUAGCAAGUGAAAAUCAAGGGUUUCUGUAAGGAAGGAGUAAGAACACCUACUACAAAAAUUAAAAGUAAAAUAACCUUUAAUAACUGCAACAAUGCAAACUCAAUUGUAUGUAUUGCUCUCAGUUGGCAUUUAGCCAUCCAUCAUUUGCUAGCUCAUAAAGCUGAUUUGUGCUCUCCCUUCCCGUCCCUGUUUCCAGGAGCUGUUGGCCUCUCUUCACCACCCCUUUCCCAUAGGCACAUAGAACUGAGACCCAAACACUCUUUUGUCUCUUCCUCUGGAACGCCGCUUUUUAUCACAUGGGGAAAGGGCGAGUUUUGUGAGCAGCUUGCUUUCUUUUUUGUUGUUGAAUGCCACUUAUAAACGCUGUUGAUAGACACUUGGAAGGUAUCUAAAAUGCUAGACAAGGAAACAGGUAUAAUUCAGAUUGAAUAGGGUCAAAAUGCUUCAACCACCUCUUUCAUUUGAAACACCUCAUUUACAGGCUCACACUUCUUUCAUUGUAGCUUAGGGUUGACAUAAAUAUAUGUGGGUUCUGUGCUAGUCUUAAGAAGUUCAGCUAGAUUUAGUGAAUUCCAUGACUAAUCAAACUCCUUGUGAAGAACACAGAACAAUUUCUCCCCACAAAAAGCUGUAACACCAAAAUUGUUGAGAGCAUCAAAAUUUAUUUUCAGAAGUCUGGUUUGGGUAUUUCCCCAAAUAUUAGCAUCUAGCCAACAAGUUAAAGCUCCAACUUCC